AGGCAGAGCGGCCGCGUUUCCGCCGCUGCGGACCUCGCUCCUGCGCCCGACCCUGUGGGACCGCAGAAAAAAGCCGCUCCCUCCUGCCACCAUGCUUCCUACCGUGUCAGCUUGCAACAAGUCUGGUGAAACGAAAACUCAUUCGCAAGCAUUUCAGAAGACAAAGCUCUGAUUUGGACUGGAGGUCUUCAUUUUCACAGUCCCCAAGCCUCAGUAUAUUAACUAUUGCCUUUUUGAUCAAAGUUCUCUGGAAGAAAAACAUGGAGGAGCUGACAACCUUGCUGGACCAACAGAAUCACUGUGCUGAUAAGGAUUUUGCCUGUCCCCACCGCUGGCUGCUGUCCUUCAGAGAACAGCUGCUGUCUGCAGGGUGCCCCUUUCGGCUGGGAGCUGUGGAAGAACGUCUUUCUCCUGCACCCAGAAUUAAUUUGCGAGGCUGCAGCUCAUACAAAUAA
rnacentral:lncRNA from 1 species